UGUAGCUUAACUGUGGGAAUUGCUGGAGAUACUAUUAGACUUGAGACCGGGAGAGGUUAGAGGUACUCCCAGGGUAGAGGUGAAAUUCUGUAAUCCUGGGAGGACCGCCUGUUGCGAAGGCGUCUAACUGGAACGGUUCUGACGGUGAGGGACGAAAGUUAGGGGCGCGAACCGGAUUAGAUACCCGGGUAGUCCUAACUGUAAACGAUGCGAACUUGGUGUUGGGGUGGCUUUGAGCUGUCCCAGUGCCGAAGGGAAGCUGUUAAGUCCG
rnacentral:rRNA from 1 species